rnacentral:lncRNA from 13 species
AUGACUGAACUGCUCACGUUUGUGUCUGCAGGUAUACAGACAAGGAGGCAUACAAAGGUAUGUCAAUUGCUAUUGGGGAUACCUAGUCAGUUGUACAAGGUGUGGGGGGCUGCCAUAAUCAACAUCAACAUCUUCGGCACCGGGGAAAAGUGGGUUAACUUUUAUUUUUUAUCUUGUCAGCUCCUGGAUUCAAUCCAGAUUCUUUGCGGUUACCGGCCCAACGCUCUAACCACUAGACUACCUGUAUGUUAUGCAGAUCCCAUUUACCAUCCUCCUCCCUUACCCCUUCAAUGGUUUACCAUAGGCAUUAUGGACAAGACUUCUCCCUUCCUACACCUGGUGAUCAGGAAACCUGUUCGAUUCACCAUGCACUGCAAAAUCAUUUUGGCAUGGAUACGGAGAACAUCAACACAUCACUGGAUAAGGUAUAUCCUCUGUUCUCCGUAUCCAUGCCAAAAUGAUUUUGCAGGCCAGAGGAUAUACCCAUUGGACUUGGGGCUGCUUUACACUAAAAUCGUAAUAAACACUGAGAACUAAAAUAGUGUGUUAUUGUUGUUAUUGUUAUGCGAAAAAUAAUAGGGGAGGGGGGGUAGUUCAAAUAUUUACCCCAAACGUUUCUUCGAGGAUCUUUAAAGAACCCUUUUAAAGGGUUAUUUGAUUAACUUAUUGGGGUUCCCUCACAGUUUCAAUUUGAAGAACCACUAAAGGAUACUCCAGGAACCUUUUCUUUUUAGAGUGUAUGGUAGACCCAAGUCAGUGAGGUUGACCUAUUUCUGCUCUGUUUCUGUACACUCAACUUCACCCAGGUGGUACACUUUUGCUACUAGCAACAAUACUGAAUGGAGAUUUUGAAGAGUCCACAUUCUCGGGUAGGUAAUUAGAGCCUAUUGAGCCUCCAACCUUUGUAAUCUUGGACACCCAGCGCAUCUGUCAACAACAGAUUGUGACCUUGUGACAGUUAUUCGUUGAGAACAAAAUAAACACUAAAUUGGUGAUUUUUUUGUAACACACAUGGUAACAACAAUUUGUCUGUAAUUACAGACUGCAAUUACCACCAGGCACAUGUUGUUAUUACAGUGAAACUAUGAAAUUAUGGAACUACAAUGAACUAUUAUACUUGUUAGUGUAAUUACACAUGUAAUUACAAUGUAAUAAUGACCCUUUAAAAUGAAGUGUCACCGGGAAGGGUAAGACAAAGGUGAGGCUUCUACAGCCAUAGGAAAACUGUUAAAUGUGUGUUGUAUCGGUAUCUAGGCGACAGAUUCAACUUGAACAACCUGAGUUUUCCCAACACAGGAGAGGAGGUGCCAAAGUUUAUAUCUGCAUUUGUGUACAAAUUUAGUUAUUAACAUAACCUUGUUCAAUGUUCUCUACCAAUAAAAAUAGCUUACAACAUUCAACUGUAUUAUCAAUUAUCUCAGAAUCAUAUUUUUGCAUAUAGAUCCUUG